GACGUAGGGCGCAAGCGUGUCCGGAUUUAUUGGGCGUAAAGAGCUCGUAGGCGGCUUGUCGCGUCGAUUGUGAAAACCCGCGGCUCAACCGUGUGGUCUGCAGUCGAUACGGGCAGGCUAGAGUUCGGUAGGGGAGACUGGAAUUCCUGGUGUAGCGGUGAAAUGCGCAGAUAUUAGGAGGAACACCGGUGGCGAAGGCGCCACUCUGGGCCGAAACUGACGCUGAGGAGCGAAAGCAUGGGUAGCAAACAGG
rnacentral:rRNA from 1 species